GAAGAAAUAAAUGAAGUCUUGUUGUUACACACUUUAAACGUUUAAAGGUAACUAUUUAACAAUGAUUCUGAGGUUUUAUUUGUCACAUACACUAACACAUAAUAGUGCCAACAUCAUCUUCGUUUUGUCAUUGUCAUCUUACUUGUAUUAGUGACCAUGUAUUCAGCAAAUUUUAUUCUUUUUCACCAUUUUAAUUAUUUCAGGCUUUGAGGUGACACUUUUAAGGAAGGGGUACACAGUUUGUGUUGUUGGUCACAAGAACGUCUCACCUGGCACCCCCGAGUAAUGUGUACCAGGGGUUAUUGUUGGUACCACUCACUCUAAACACGGAUUACAUGUCCUGGGACUUGGCUCCUAAGGGACAUGGGGCCAAAAUAAAAAUAUUGUUUGUUUCCCCUCGCCCGACCGAGUCUGAAAAUUCACACCGACCCAUAAGUUUUUAUUACGCCAUUCUGGUGAAGUUUUUUUUUAAUUUUAAGAAAAAUUCAAGGUCGCUUCUGGUGCAGAUCAGUAUUUGAUAAUGACAAAAAUUUUCUAUAUCUUCUUUGGUUUCAAUCCAAAAUAAAAAAAAAUAAUGAUAAUACGAAUACAGGAGGUGUUCUGGUCCGAAAUCUAGAAAUUUCGCCGCCUCCAGCUGGAGGCGGCAUUCUCUGGCUGAUUUCAAAUACUUACAAGCCGAAUUUAAUUUUAAGCUCAUAACUAAUCAAUAAAACGAUUCUUCUUGUACUUACUAAUAUCGAUUUUAUGGGUUCUUUCAUCACAUAAACAGUCUCUUGAAAACAUUUUAUCAAACUGUCGAGCUUUGUUUUGAGUCACGAGACUCGUUUGCUCAAAUGGCAGUGAAAAUUCGGUUGACUACAAUUGUUGGCUUCUGUUUAAUAUCGAAUUUUGGAUUGAUAUUUUCUUUUAAUCGAUAUUAAUGAGUACAAGAAUCAUGAUUGUUUUAUUGAUUAGUUACAAGUGAGUUUAACAUUGAAUUCGGCUCGCAAUUCGGACUAGUGAUCUGCAAGAUCGAGAUGGAGAAAUGUUGUCUAUACGAGGAGCGAGGAAACAAGAGAAUUCGGGGCAUCCAGUGUGCAAGUUGUGUUCUUCAGUAGGGGAAAGUGUUGAUAUUUCGGACGGAUGCGAUAUUUUUGACAGUCAAUCGGAAGCAUUCUCAAUUUAACUUAUUUCUGAACUAAUGCUAUAUUUACAAACUGGAAAACACCUAAUUAUAUGCACAUGUGUAACUCAGCUCUGAUUGGUUGAUGUCAGCAUCCAUUUUGUUUGAUCGGCAAAAUCAAGUCCCGUUGAAACGUUUUCUGGUAAACUAGAUCUACCGAUAUCAUUUAAAAAUAUAAUGAAAAUCACUAUCAUAUAUAAAUUAAGAUAAUGUGCAAAAAACAAAAGCAUAAAAUGUCAGUGAACCAUAAAUAAAAGACAGCAACCGAGUUUACCAAUUUUAUAACACCAUGUGUCCAAAACUAACACCAUUGUCCAUAGUUGCAACAUUCUCCCUAACUUUAUUUAAGUGUUAGUAUGUGGUAUAAAUAGCAGAGAAAAUUCUGAUGAAACUCAAUGUUCGUCGAAUCAACCAAUAUGUAUACAUGUAGUCCAAUGCCUAAGUUUAGUGGUUAGAUAAUGAGGAUUUCCAAAAUACAUGAAGUACUGUCCGAAAUAUCGACACCUUUCCUAAUUGCAAAACGUGGCAAUCAAAGCAGAAUUUACGCGAGAACUGACUAUACGAGUUUGAUGAGGAAACAUGGAUGAUGUGCUUCAUGACGUUUGGUAUUGGGCAUUGUUAAUGGUUAUGGGAAUUUCAUAAUAAAUAAAAUUCUGCCAGCUAAAAAAAAACCUUUUUACCUACCUACCGACCUUCCUCUGAAAUUUAGGGUCGGGAGAGGGGAAACAAACAUAUUUUUAAAUGUGGCCUGACAUUUACCAACUGGCAACAUCUGUGACUCAAUCAUCUCAGCCUCAUUUACAUUCUCAAUUUUGGCAAUAACUAAUAUCAUUGAAAAUCUUUUUAGGGACUUGUAUGAAUGGGCAUAAGAAAUGUUCUUAACUGACCACUCCAUCAUUGCCUGCUGUUGGAGACUGAUCACUUCAUUGAAAAUUGAUGGGAUGUAGUAAUCAAUGGGCGUCAUCAUUUUCCCUGAAAAGACUAAGAGAAAUGGGACGUUUUAUGGCACAGCAAUGUCUGUAUGUCCGUCUGUAGAUGGGAUGUAUUAUGGUACAGCAAUGUCUGUAGGGGGCUGAGAUAAAUUCCCAUUCCCAAUGCUAAAAGCUCCCUUGGCCUCACGAGAUCAUGACACCCUGCAGUAGGAGCAGUUCCUACCAGUAUCUCUUAAAAGCAAACAGAAGUUCUCUUAGCAUCUGAUCUCUUUCUGGAGACAAACUUUUGUGUGGAGCCGGGUAGCGGUUACUUGAGAUGUCUGGCUGAUUGACGAGGAUAAUUGUCCUGCGACUCUGACAUUCUGUAGGACUUGGAUAGCUCUAUUGCUGUAGAAAAUGUCAGGUUUGUUAAUGAAAUUAUGUAAAAUGUUCCGUUUCUAUGUUUCAUUUAUGGAAUGGCUGGGGCAUAUAGUGUUAACCCUUUUUAGCUCACAUGAGCUUAAAGCUAAAGUGAGCUAUUCUGAUCACUUUUUGUCCAGCAUCAGUCUAUUUGUCUCUUUGUAAACUUUUAACAUUUUUGACUUCUUCUCAAGCACAUACCACGGGACUAAUAUCAGUUAAACUUGCCUCAAAGCAUGCUUGGGUAAAGAGAAUUCAAGUUUGUGCAUGAUGGAGGGCCAGGCUCCCCCCAAAGGGGAGAUAAUCAAAAAUAAUAUUGAACUAGGGUAGAGUCAUUUAAAAAUCUUCUUAAGAACCGCUAGGUCAGAAAAGUUGAAAUGUAUAUGAAUGCUCCCUGACAUAGUGUAGAUUCAAGUUCAAAUCAUGGCACCAAGGAGUAAGAUGGGAUCACAAUAGGGGAUCACAAAGGGUGGGAUCAUAUUAGAGGGUCAGAAGUAUUACAUAGUAAUAUAUAGGAGAAAUCUUCUCUUUUGGUAAAAUGAUGAACCUUGAGUAAAGGCAAUUGUGUAGCUACGACACAUCUAGGUUUUAUUUAAAAGCAGUAUACUAACGGAAAUAUAACAGUUAAAGGGAUCGACACUUCAGCUCAUUUUUAUACAAGUACUAUCUUAAAACAUGUAUCAAUAAAAUGAUAAAAAUCAUAUUGAUACUGUCAAUUUAUAACAUUGAACGCGUAAGUGUGCUGCUCUCAGCUACGCUUUCAAGAUCAUUUGGAAAUCAAGGAAAUUCUCAUGCUGCCUCAGACAUUUUAGAAUGACAGCAAAUUUGUUGUGUAGAAAGUUAUUUAAAUACCCCUUAAUGGAUCCACACUUACUUUUCAAGUAUGGGAUUAUUCUCUGCUUCUUAUAUUUAAGAAAUUAUAAGUCAGACCUCUUAUCAGAACAACUUCCUUAUCCCAAUUGACCAAACAAUGUUUUCAAACAAACAUGACGAGUUCAGAUAAAAAUAGCACUUACUUUUGAAGACCUGCAUGCGUUUCUCGUAGCUCUUGGUUACGGUCAUACUGAUCCACACGUAAAUUUUAGUUCAUGUAGGAGUUGUAUCUCGUUAUUCUCGCAUGGUAUGUCAAAAUACUGGGUUUACUCAUUUUCGCUUUCUCUCACUGGACAACAUGCUGCACUGUUUACUGUCGGUGGUCAUGCGUCUAAACAUCGAUAGGAGGAGGCUCAAUAUUUUUUAGCAAGGGUCGCCAAAAAGUAUUAAUUUUAUCCUUUAACCGAGAAUUCUCAACUUUAGAAAUGUUUCAAAAUUGCAAAGUUCAUAGAUUCUAUAAUACAACAAAAUUUGAGAAAACUUUAGGAAAAUUGUCAUUUUGUGAUUUUGGGGCUAAAUGGGCUCUAGUAUCUCUUUGAAGAACUGUAAACAGUAAAAUCUCAAGAUGUCAAAAAAUCGUGAACAACAAAGAAAAGAGUGUGGUCAGUGACCUAUCAUUGAUUGACUGAUCAUGUGUAAUUAACUCUCUGCAAUAAUCGUGGACAUUUUAUUAACACUGUUACACAUCACUGGAUAUUCUUCUAGAAAUCAACUAAAUCUGAUUUUAACAUAUUUUAUUGUCCAGAUGUUUUAACAACAGGAUUGAGCACCAGUUCCUAAACCCUAGAACUUCUCUCUGACUGAAGAAUUCAACAUGAACUGAUCGAUCAUAUAGAAUUUUUCAAGGUCUCUCAGAUUUCGGGAAAUGAAAGAUCUCUGAUUCACCAUUCGAAUGUUAUCAGCAAGUUGAAGUUUCUAUAAAGGUUUUGCAGCUGCAGUGAAUCUUCAAG